rnacentral:rRNA from 1 species
GAUAAACGCUGGCGGCGCACAUAAGACAUGCAAGUCGAACGGACUUAACCAUUAGUUUACUAUUGGAGCGGUUAGUGGCGGACUGGUGAGUAACACGUAAGCAACCUGCCUAUCAGAGGGGAACAACAGUUAGAAAUGACUGCUAAUACCGCAUAAGACCACAGGAUCGCAUGAUCCGGUGGUAAAAACUCCGGUGGUAUGAGAUGGACCCGCGUCUGAUUAGCUAGUUGGUGGGGUAACGGCUCACCAAGGCGACGAUCAGUAGCCGACCUGAGAGGGUGACCGGCCACAUUGGGACUGAGACACGGCCCAA